rnacentral:rRNA from 1 species
GAUGAACGCUGGCGGCGUGCCUAAUACAUGCAAGUCGAGCGAACAGACGAGGAGCUUGCUCCUCUGACGUUAGCGGCGGACGGGUGAGUAACACGUGGAUAACCUACCUAUAAGACUGGGAUAACUUCGGGAAACCGGAGCUAAUACCGGAUAAUAUAUUGAACCGCAUGGUUCAAUAGUGAAAGACGGUUUUGCUGUCACUUAUAGAUGGAUCCGCGCCGCAUUAGCUAGUUGGUAAGGUAACGGCUUACCAAGGCGACGAUGCGUAGCCGACCUGAGAGGGUGGUCGGCCACACGGGAACUGGAACACGGUCCAGACUCCUACGGGAGGCAGCAGUAGGGAAUCUUCCGCAAUGGGCGAAAGCCUGACGGAGCAACGCCGCGUGAGUGAUGAAGGUCUUCGGAUCGUAAAACUCUGUUAUUAGGGAAGAACAAAUGUGUAAGUAACUAUGCACGUCUUGACGGUACCUAAUCAGAAAGCCACGGCUAACUACGUG